rnacentral:rRNA from 1 species
AUUGAACGCUGGCGGCAGGCCUAACACAUGCAAGUCGAACGAGUGGCGGACGGGUGAGUAAUGUCUGGGAAACUGCCUGAUGGAGGGGGAUAACUACUGGAAACGGUAGCUAAUACCGCAUACUCUCGGAUGUGCCCAGAUGGGAUUAGCUAGUAGGGGGGGAAAGGGCUCACCUAGGCGACGAGCCCUAGCGGGUCUGAGAGGCUGAAGAGCCACACGGGAACUGAGACACGGUCCAGACCCCGACGGGAGGCAGCAGGGGGGAAUAUUGCACAAUGGGCGCAAGCCUGAUGCAGCCAGGCCGCGUGUAUGAAGAAGGCCUUCGGGUUGUAAAGGACUUUCAGCGGGGAGGCGUUACCCGAAGAAGAAGCACCGGCUAACUCCGUGCCAGCCCCGCGGUAAUAC